UUUUGUCUUUUUCUGCAUUGGUUGAGAUAAUCACGUGUUUUCUGUUCUCCUGAGAAUGUGGUGUAUCACACUGAUCAAAUUUUGUAGUUGGCCCAUCCUUGCAUUCCAGGAAUAAAUCCCACUUGAUUAUGGUGUAUAAUCCUUUCCAUAUGCUGCUGACUUUAGUUUGCCAGCAUUUGGCUGAGGAUUUUUGAAUCUGUGUUCAUGAGAGAUAUUGGCCUGUACUUUUCUUUCCUUGUAGUCUCUUUGGCUUUGGUGUCAGGGUAAUGCUGGCCUCAUAGAGUGAGUUAGGAGUGGCUGAAUUCAGUUUUUUGGAAAAGUUUGAGAGGAAUUGGUGUUUGUUCUUUAAAUGUUUGGUGGCAUUCGCCAGUGAAACUAUCAGGUCCUGGGCCUUUCUUUGAUGGGAGACUUUUGAUCACUGAUUCAAUCUUCUUACUCAUUACAGAUCUAUUCAGAUUUUCUAUUUCUUUGGGACUUAGUCUUGGUAGAUAGUGUGUUUCUUGGAAUGUGUCCAAUUCUCAGUGCUUUCCUAUAGAGCAAGAUAUGAUAUAGGCCUGGCUUUCCAGCUGUGAGCUUGGGCAAGCCACAUAGUCGGUUCUCUCGGGGCAUCUGUGUGUAGCAUGAGCUCCCACCCCACCUGCUGCUUCAUGGGGGCUGUAGGGGAGAAUGCGAGGGUCCAUGGAGGUGGCCCACUGGGCCUGGCAGCGUCUCCCAGGACAUGCAGGUUGGCCAGGGUGUUUGAGAAGCCAGCAGAAGACACCAGACAACCUGGCUUCCUCCAGUGGCCAGGCCUGAGCAGCUGUCUGUCCAUGGGUCACUGCAGGGGCCAGGGAACCAUGCCAGGGCCCGGCUCAUGAAGCUCCUAAAAUAAGGGCCCUGGAAGGAGAA
rnacentral:lncRNA from 10 species